rnacentral:rRNA from 1 species
AUUGAACGCUGGCGGCAUGCCUUACACAUGCAAGUCGAACGGCAGCACGGGGGGAACCCUGGUGGCGAGUGGCGAACGGGUGAGUAAAGCAUCGGAACGUGCCCUGGAGUGGGGGAUAACGUAGCGAAAGUUACGCUAAUACCGCAUAUUCUGUGAGCAGGAAAGCAGGGGGAUCGCAAGACCUUGCGCUCUGGGAGCGGCCGAUGUCGGAUUAGCUAGUUGGUGGGGUAAAGGCCUACCAAGGCGACGAUCCGUAGCGGGUCUGAGAGGAUGAUCCGCCACACUGGGACUGAGACACGGCCCAGACUCCUACGGGAGGCAGCAGUGGGGAAUUUUGGACAAUGGGCGAAAGCCUGAUCCAGCCAUGCCGCGUGAGUGAAGAAGGCCU